UCCGGAUUUUCUGGGGCCUUUCCCUGGAAAUUUCCAUACCAUUUGUCCCCGUUUCGAAAAUUUCGGAAAUUUUGGUACGCACUUGUACCCAAGGAACAACUGGUAAACAACAACCAGCUGGUCAACAGUUGACCACGGGAACCUCAUUUCCAAAAGGAAUGAAGUACUCCAUUUAAGACAAGUAACAGGUUUCCACUUACACAGUUAAAACAUUUGAGCUUACCUUAUCGUUGCAUUCAUUUGUUUUUCAUUGGUUUUCCCAAAACGAGCGUUGCAAAGCUGUGUCAUGUCAAACUAACCUUGCAGUAGACGACAGCAGCUACAGUGUUAAACAGAUAUAUCAAAGUUACCUUCAGUUUACCGUAAACUAAAUAUUAGCAACAAAUUUGGUAAAAAGUACGAUAAAUAGAACUGACCUCAACACGUGUUUUUUUAAAUCUCCCGCGAGCAAAAUCCUUCAGCGUUUCUUCUACCCAGAGAGCCCCGCGUGGAUGCGUGGUCAGUCUUAUUUGUCAGCGGUUUGCCUCAAGGAAAGGAAAAUAGGCACACUUUGUUCCUCUUUAUAUGACGCAAAUUUUGUUUCUCGCUUCAGUUCAGACAUGGCGUUGCUCGUUUACAACUCUUGAAUUUGCUUGUUUUUUUAGCUCUCGGCCUGAUGUAUUAUAAUUUCUGGUGGAAAAAUGCAGCAGGAAAGGCAGGGGGAAAUUGAACAUGAGGUUUCGAUGGAAGAAAGUACUGGACCAUUGCUUUUCAACAAACUCAAGGAGCAUGGAAUAAGUGCAAAUGAUGUCAAAAAGCUACAAUAAGCUGGAUUUCACACCAUCGAGUCAGUAGCAUACACACCGAAAAAAGCCCUGCUUGCUAUCAAAGGAAUAAGGGAAGCUACGUGUAAAGCUGAAAAAGUGCUCAAUGAAGCUUCUAAACUGGUGCCUGUGGGGUUCACAACUGCCACGGAAUUCCACCAACAGAGAUCAGAGCAUGUAUAUAUCACUACAGGCUCAAAGGAGCUGGAUAAACUAAUGCAAGUCUUCUUAAACAUUUCUCUCGCCACCAAGAAAAGGGUAGGAAAGUUCUGUGCAGAUGUCUACUUCCCGGUGAAGUAGUGUCGCCAAGAUCUCAGACAAGCGGCCAAAAAGACAAGAAAGGUAGUGUAGGAUUUACAAGUUUUUUUUCAUCAUAAAGUUUUCUGAAAUUCAAUUUAAAAAUACCAAUGGAUUAAAAGUGUCGCAACCUUGUAGUGGCAAUGCACUGAUGUUAAAACUCCGGAAAACUCAGACAGGGAGCUUUCAAGCUCAAGGAGUUGUGUUUCCAACAGAAGAGAGAAAGAGGUAAUUGUUUUUUCCAAAUCUGUUUCGUUCAUCCAAUCGUUCAGAGUUUUGAGCGUUCUUCCCUCCAAAUAUAUGUUGCAUUUCAGAAGCUCAGAAGAAUAACUAAAAGACAAAGAGGAAACGAUGACAUGGAGGCAAGAGAAAGAAACAAAAAGAAAAAAUAAAUUUGUAGACUGCUUUAAAAUACUUUUUUUUUCUCAUUUGCAUAUAUUUUUCAAGAUAAUUUUCAUGUACAUGCACAUUCAAACUAAUAAAUUUUCAGUGCAGAAUUACUACAUGACAUAACCUCAUUACAGUAUUUUCUGGUAAACUUCUUGGAGAAAAUGGAUCCCUCACAUUCUGGGGCUUUUUUUGACCAUUUCUUUUCUUUUCUAUAACUAAAUCAGAUUUAGCUUCAAAAGAGUUCAUUUUCUGUAAAAGGAGGUAGUUGUGAAACCUGCAGAAUGUCAACUCCACAAACUCAACAAAUCUUGCAUGCAGAGAACUUGUUUUUCUCCUUAUAAAUGGAUUGUAUGGCAGACAUCCUGAGGAAUCACAAACACAAAAGGAAGACAAACUGAAAGGAUGAGUGGGGACAGGGAGAAAGAUGGCAUUUUGAUGAAGAAAAAUGUAACUGCUUUUGAUGCAAGUUUGACUCUAUAUCAAAA
rnacentral:lncRNA from 1 species